rnacentral:rRNA from 1 species
CCUACGGGGGGCUGCAGUGGGGAAUAUUGGACAAUGGGCGCAAGCCUGAUCCAGCCAUGCCGCGUGAGUGAUGAAGGCCUUAGGGUUGUAAAGCUCUUUUAGCAGGGAAGAUAAUGACUGUACCUGCAGAAUAAGCUCCGGCUAACUUCGUGCCAGCAGCCGCGGUAAUACGAAGGGAGCUAGCGUUGUUCGGAAUCACUGGGCGUAAAGCGCACGUAGGCGGAUUUGUUAGUGAGGGGUGAAAUCCCGGGGCUCAACCUCGGAACUGCCUUUCA